UAGAUUAAUUGUAAUAGGAUGGUGUAAU
rnacentral:piRNA from 1 species